UCACAAAAAUUGUACCUAUCAUUCUCAUUGAAAGAUCAAGUCUAAGAAGCGGUAUAUCUGUUCUAUGUGCUCUAUUUCAAUGCUUUCCGUGUUUAAGAUUUGUUUUUGUGCCUUUUACUUUUGGUUUUGUACACCAACUUCAAACAGCUGAAAAUACAAUAUUUUGGGUUAUGGAAAAUAUAUUUCAGAGGUUUAGACGGUACAAUGAUUCUCUACACUAUACUUGCUUGUUUUGUCACAUAAACUGAAAUUAGACAAACUAUUAGAGUUUUAGCAACCAGGAACCAUAGAGCAUCUUUAACUGAAUUUAUGUCCCAUUCACUUAACCCUGAAAUAUAAUCCCAAACAUGUUUUUGUUUUAGUCUAACUCACAGUGAUAUCCAUCCCACUGACAUGAAUAAGCUAUGUAGAAGACUGGUACAGUGUCCCAGCCUACUUGAGCUAGAUUUCUCCCAUGGAUCCCUGAAAGACGACGCUAUUGAAAAUCUAUUGAAGAUCCUGCCAAAGAUUAAAUCUCUUCAGCUGCUUAAUAUAAGCCAUGUCCAGAUGUCUACGGAUGGAGCAUUGUUAUUGGUCAGAUCUCUGAUAGACUGCCAUCGUGUCAGAGCUGUGGAACUCCGG